AAAAUUUUAAAAGUCGAACAGACUUAAUUUUUAAAUUUUUGCUUUUAAAUUAAAUUUUAAUCCAACAUCGAGGUCGCAAUCUUUAAUUUUAAUAUGAACUUAAAAUUAAAAUUACG
rnacentral:rRNA from 1 species